GUUUUUGUUUGUUUGUAUUUUUGUGUGUAUUUUUUUUUUUUUUAUAAAAUAUUUAUGAAUUCACCAAUCAAUCCUUGAUAUCUUCAAAGAGGAGAAUAUGAUACACAACCUGGUCUGUCUACAAAAAGAUGAGCUAUAUAACUUGAUCCAUUUUCCCAUUAUUAAAUCUUUUUCCAAGUUUGUCAUCUUCAGGAUUGUACACUAUUUUAAUGUAUUUAAUUUUUAUUUCAUUAUUGUUCAUUUGACAAGACAAUGUGCAUUUACUAAAUCAUAUUUAUUUUUUGUAUUAUUAUUUGUGGGAAAAACUAAUAGUAGCCAGAAAGAGAUAUUUGUGCAAGUUCAAUUGAGAGAGAACUCCAAUGAUGAAUAAUGCAUAACCUCUUUGGUUGAGAGUAUGUGACAUCAAAUGCAAUUGACAAAUAUGAAAAUUUUCUUUUUUGUUAGUCUUCAGUUCUGCAUUUAUGCAUUCAUUUUCAGGAACCACCUAUUUUGUAACUAAGAGAAUUAAAUGUAUUUUAUUUUUUAUUGCUGAUAUUUAAAAAAAUGAAUGUUUAUAAUUCAACUUACAUAAUACUAAUGAAGUGUGGCUGGUAUUGUCCAGAAUAAUUUGUAAACAUUUACAGUCAUAUCUCAAGUUGUUUUGAUUUAUAUCAUUUUUGACUUUACAUUGGUUUUUUAUUAAUAGGGAAAAAUAAAAGUUUACUGAAGAUUGGGUUUCACAGGCAUAAGACAUUACAUUAAUAUAUUGGUGCUGAUGAUGAUAUUUCCAUUAUAUGGCUACAUGCUGCAUCUUUAUGCUAAAGUUCACUCUUGUUCAACUUUCUUAUCUGCAUACAAGAAUAUGUUGAC
rnacentral:lncRNA from 1 species